UUAAUAUUAUUUAAAUAUUAAUGAAAAUAGAAUUAUCUAAUAUUUAAAUCAUUUAAUAAUGAUUCUAGAGUUUGAAAAAUCAAGAUAAAUUAUAAUAAUUAUUUAAAAAUUAUUAUAAGUCAUUUAAAAAUAAUAUGAGUGGUAUUUAAAAUAUCUAGGAUAAUAUUGAACAAUAUGAUAGAGUUUUAAUGUGAGUGGUACACCGAAAUGCUACCGAAAUUGAUCCGAACAUAUAUAGUUUGACUGUAUAAGUAUUUAUUUGUGUCUUAAUGACUGGUAUAACUAUAUGACAAUGUGAUCAAGUUAUGUGUUGACUGUAAAUAACAGUACUAUGUGUUAUGAUAUGUUUUCUAAUCAAUAGAACAAUCUUAUAAAUGAUAGGUCGUUGAAUUAAAGAUAGAACUAAGUUGUGUAACCAGCAGACCAGGCAAGUUCCCUAAACUUACUCCAAUUAAUAUUGAGCAAGUAUCUUUACCCCUUGCAUUUACUUUAUGCAAUGGACAUGAGUAAGAAAGUUUCAGAAUUAUAUUAUCAUUGUGUCAGAUUAUUAACUCUAUUGCUGUGGCGACCCCAAAUCCGGAUACUUGAAACCCGAACUCGGUUCUCCACGAUACCAUUUCUUUAAGCUGAAUAAUACCAAAUAAUAAUAAUAUAAUUCGAACUUAAUUUACAUACAUCAAAGUUUACUUUCCCAGGUACGUGACCUUCAAAUACAUUCCUUACAAUACCUG
rnacentral:lncRNA from 1 species